UGCCGGGUCGUCCAAUUGGUAGGACACUGCGCCUCUGAAGCGCGGGAUCUAGGUUCAACUCCUAGCUCGGCAU
rnacentral:tRNA from 1 species